rnacentral:rRNA from 1 species
UACGGAGGGGACUAGCGUUGUUCGGAAUUACUGGGCGUAAAGCGCACGUAGGCGGAUUUGUAAGUCAGGGGUGAAAUCCCGGGGCUCAACCUCGGAACUGCCUUUGAUACUGCAAAUCUCGAGUCCGGAAGAGGUGAGUGGAAUUCCUGGUGUAGCGGUGAAAUGCGCAGAUAUCAGGAGGAACAUCAGUGGCGAAGGCGGCCAUCUGGGACAACACUGACGCUGAAGCACGAAAGCGUGGGGAGCAAACAGG